CUAACCGACUAAGGAGGUAGGAUGCCUAACGUAGUAGGUCAGUGAUUGGGGUG
rnacentral:rRNA from 1 species